GACGAACGCUGGCGGCGUGCUUAACACAUGCAAGUCGAACGGAAAGGCCCUGCUUUUGUGGGGUGCUCGAUUGGCGAACGGGUGAGUAACACGUGAGUAACCUGCCCUUGACUUUGGGAUAACUUCAGGAAACUGGGGCUAAUACCGGAUAGGAGCUCCUGCUGCAUGGUGGGGGUUGGAAAGUUUCGGCGGUGGGGGAUGGACUCGCGGCUUAUCAGCUUGUUGGUGGGGUAGUGGCUUACCAAGGCUUUGACGGGUAGCCGGCCUGAGAGGGUGACCGGCCACAUUGGGACUGAGAUACGGCCCAGACUCCUACGGGAGGCAGCAGUGGGGAAUAUUGCACAAUGGGCGGAAGCCUGAUGCAGCAACGCCGCGUGCGGGAUGACGGCCUUCGGGUUGUAAACCGCUUUCGCCUGUGACGAAGCGUGAGUGACGGUAAUGGGUAAAGAAGCACCGGCUAACUACGUG
rnacentral:rRNA from 1 species